rnacentral:rRNA from 1 species
UUGACCUCGGAUCAGGUAGGGAUACCCGCUGAACUUAAGCAUAUCAAUAAGCGGAGGAAAAGAAACCAACCGGGAUUGCCUCAGUAACGGCGAGUGAAGCGGCAAGAGCUCAAAUUUGAAAUCUGGCCCCUCCGGGGUCCGAGUUGUAAUUUGCAGAGGAUGCUUCGGGUGCGGCCCCUGUCUAAGUGCCCUGGAACGGGCCGUCAGAGAGGGUGAGAAUCCCGUCUUGGGCAGGGUGCCCGUGCCCGUGUGAAGCUCCUUCGACGAGUCGAGUUGUUUGGGAAUGCAGCUCUAAAUGGGUGGUAAAUUUCAUCUAAAGCUAAAUACCGGCCGGAGACCGAUAGCGCACAAGUAGAGUGAUCGAAAGAUGAAAAGCACUUUGAAAAGAGAGUUAAACAGCACGUGAAAUUGUUGAAAGGGAAGCGCUUGCGACCAGACUCGGCCCCGGGGUUCAGCCAGCACUCGUGCUGGUGUACUUCCCCGGGGGCGGGCCAGCGUCGGUUUGGGCGGCCGGUCAAAGGCCCCAGGAAUGUAUCAUCCUCCGGGAUUGUCUUAUAGCCUGGGGUGCAAUGCGGCCAGCCCGGACCGAGGAACGCGCUUCGGCACGGACGCUGGCGUAAUGGUCGCAAACGACC